rnacentral:tRNA from 1 species
GGGGUUGUAGCUCAGUGGUAGAGUGCUUGCUUAGCAUGCAUGAGGCACUGGGUUCAAUCCUCAGCACCA